UGCAAGGCCAUAGACACAUCACGACAUGUCUCUUGUCCUGGUGUGUUAGAGUUCUUGUAAAAAAUAUGGUCUUAAUUCACUGGCAAGGGCCUGCAGUGUGCUGUUAAUGCCCAGAUUAGAGACAUAC